rnacentral:RNase_P_RNA from 1 species
CGAGUCGGCUAAACGAUCGCGGGCAUAGUGCCGCAAGGCCGUGCCUGAGGAAAGUCCGAGCUGCAUAGAGCAGAGUGCUGGAUAACGUCCAGUGGGGGAAACCCUAAGGAAAGUGCCACAGAAAACAAACCGCCCUGUACUAAUGGGGUAAGGAUGAAACGGUGCGGUAAGAGCGCACCAGAGCCCAGGUGACUGGAGCUCUUGGUAAACCCCACUCGCAGCAAGACCUAAUAGGGGAAGGAUGACGCUGCUCGCUGACUUCCCGGGUUGGUCGCUUGAGGCAUUAGGUAACUAGUGUCCCAGAUAAAUGAUCGUUCACGACAGAACUCGGCUUAUGGCUGACUCGCAUC